rfam:Schistosoma rodhaini strain Burundi genome assembly, scaffold: SROB_scaffold0005539
AUCCAGCUGACGAGUUCCAAAUAGGACAAAACGCGCGUAUUGGAU